UAGAGGAAGUAAAAGUCGUAACAAGGUUUCCGUAGGUGANACCUGCGGAAGGAUCAUUACAGAGUUAGGGUCUUCCGGGCCCAACCUCCAACCCUAUGUGUACCUACCUUUGUUGCUUUGACGGGCCUGUUGAGGCAACUCACCGAUGGCCGCAGGCUGUCGAGUGCCCGUCAAAGGCCCAUCAAACUCCGUUAACUGUGCUGUCUGAGUACCAAUACAAUAGUUAAAACUUUCAACAACGGAUCUCUUGGUUCUGGCAUCGAUGAAGAACGCAGCGAAAUGCGAUAAGUAAUGUGAAUUGCAGAAUUCAGUGAAUCAUCGAAUCUUUGAACGCACAUUGCGCCCCUCGGUAUUCCAAGGGGCAUGCCUGUUCGAGCGUCAUUACACCACUCAAGCUUGGCUUGGUAUUGGGCGUUCGUCCCCUGUGGACGUGCCAGGAAAUUAGCGGCGGCACAGCCUCAGCUUCAAGCAGCAUUAGUUUCAUCUUUCGCUUUGGAAGCUCGGGUCUGAGUUGGCCGGACAACCCUCAUGUUUUCUAAAGGUUGACCUCGGAUCAGGUAGGGAUACCCGCUGAACUUAAGCAUAUCA
rnacentral:rRNA from 1 species